rnacentral:rRNA from 1 species
GAACCUGUUCUAUAAUUGAUAAUCCACGAUUUUAAGUCCUUAUUUUAUAUAAAUUUAUAUAUCGUCGUAGUUUGAAUAUUUUAAAAGAAUAUUAAUAUUCAAAAUUUUUUAUAAAAAAAUAAAUCAGAUCAAGGUGUAGUUUAUAAAUAAGAAGAAAUGGGUUACAAUAAAUAAAUUUUUGGAUUAAUUUAUUUAAUUAAAUUAUAAAAAUGGAUUUGAAAGUAAUUUUAAAUAAAUAUUUAUUAUGAUUUGAGCUCUAAAAUAUGUACAUAUUGCCCGUCGCUUUUGUUUUAAGAUGAAAUAAGUCGUAACAAAGUAGAUUUACUGGAAAGUGAAUCUAGAUUA